GACAGAGGGUGCAAACGUUGCUCGGAAUCACUGGGCGUAAAGGGCGUGUAGGCGGGAAGGAAAGUCGGGCGUGAAAUCCCUGGGCUCAACCCAGGAACUGCACUCGAAACUUCUUUUCUUGAGUGCCGGAGAGGAAAGCGGAAUUCCUGGUGUAGAGGUGAAAUUCGUAGAUAUCAGGAGGAACACCAGUGGCGAAGGCGGCUUUCUGGACGGUAA
rnacentral:rRNA from 1 species